rnacentral:rRNA from 1 species
UGGGGAAUAUUGGACAAUGGGCGCAAGCCUGAUCCAGCCAUGCCGCGUGAGUGAUGAAGGCCUUAGGGUUGUAAAGCUCUUUUACUGGGGAAGAUAAUGACGGUACCCAGAGAAUAAGCCCCGGCUAACUUCGUGCCAGCAGCCGCGGUAAUACGAAGGGGGCUAGCGUUGUUCGGAUUUACUGGGCGUAAAGCGCACGUAGGCGGACUCUUAAGUCAGAGGUGAAAUCCCAAGGCUCAACCUUGGAACUGCCUUUGAUACUGGGAGCCUUGAGGUCGAGAGAGGUUAGUGGAACUGCGAGUGUAGAGGUGAAAUUCGUAGAUAUUCGCAAGAACACCAGUGGCGAAGGCGGCUAACUGGCUCGAUACUGACGCUGAGGUGCGAAAGCGUGGGGAGCAAACAGG